CCUACGGGAGGCAGCAGUGAGGAAUAUUGGUCAAUGGGCGCGAGCCUGAACCAGCCAAGUAGCGUGAAGGAUGACUGCCCUACGGGUUGUAAACCUCUUUUAUAGAGGAAUAAAGCGAGGCACGUGUGCCUCUUUGUAUGUACCCUAUGAAUAAGCAUCGGCUAACUCCGUGCCAGCAGCCGCGGUAAUACGGAGGAUCCGAGCGUUAUCCGGAUUUAUUGGGUUUAAAGGGUGCGCAGGUGGGUUGUUAAGUCAGGUGUGAAAGUUUGCGGCUCAACCGGCAAAUUGCAGUUGAAACUGGCAGCCUUGAGUGCAGGAGAAGUAGGCGGAAUGCGUGGUGUAGCGGUGAAAUGCUUAGAUAUCACGAAGAACUCCGAUUGCGAAGGCAGCAUACUGGAGUGCAACUGACGUUGAUGCACGAAAGUGUGGGUAUCGAACAGGAUUAGAUACCCGAGUAGUC
rnacentral:rRNA from 1 species